GCCAAUGAUAUUUGGCCUUUAAAUUAAGCUCCUUGUAAUGGGCCUAAAAAAUCUCUCCCUCUCUUUGAUUUUUGGAAAAGGAUUCUUCUCAGUAUCAUUGUCCUCAUGUCCCAAAUCACAUUUGUUAUAGUGAGGAAUUUGCAUUGAGAGAAUGUGCUUCAAGAUUUUUGAAUCGAGAGAAAAUGUGGUGCUGAGUUUUAAAAUCUCUUCUUUGAGAGUACUAUUUUCAGCUUGAGAAAUGUGAACUUCACUCACUCGGAGGCCGUUUUCCUUUUUCAAGUUUUCAAUAAUAGUUUUGUAAUCAAGGUUUUUGGAAGUGAGCUCAAAAACUUAUUUCUUUAAAACUGAAACCCUUUUUGAAACCUUUUUGUGUUCUUCAAACAUUUCUUUCAAAAAUUCCUACAUCUCUUCAUAAGUUAGUUCAGGAUUAUUUACCUUAUUUUCAUCUUCAUGGUCGGAAUAUGCCAUUAGACAAAGUUUUGCUUCCUCUCCAUCACUGGAUUCACAUUCGGUAUCACUCCAUGAUUCAGCUUUCAGUGCUCUCUCCUCUUCUUUUCAUAUUUCCCUUUCUUCUUGUUGAGCAAUGGGCAAUUUGGCUUUAUGUGACAUGGUUUUUUGCAUUCAUAACAAAUAAGAUCGUUACUUUUGGAGUCUUCUUUGCUUUUGUAUUGCCUCUUUUCUUCUGGAAACUUCGUUUGACGUUUUCUUUUGAAGUUUCCUCCUUUCUUCAUAAGGCUAUUGAAUCUUCAAGUGGAUAAUGCCAUAUCUUCAUUGUUACCUUCAUCUCCUAAUGAUAUUUGAUCACCUGUAUCAUCAUGGUUAGCUUUGAAUGCAAUAACUUUCUUACCUUUUGAAUUACCUUCUUCAUUUUGUUGUUCUAUUUCAUAGGACGUGAAUGUUCCUAUCAGCUUAUCCAUCGUGAUUGGAUGAAUCUUCAUUGUUUCUCGUAUUGAGGUCUUUACGUUGUUCCAUUACUUUGGCAAUGCUCUCAAUAGCUUGUUCAUAUUUUCUCCAUCAAUGAACAAUUUUCCUUGGUGUGCUAGGUCAUUUACUAUUUCUAUGAAUCUGUUGAACAUUUGUGAUACUAUUUUAUCUAAUUUCAUCUUGAAAAAGUUCAUAUUGUCCAAGAAAGAUGUUCAUCUUUGUCUCCUAUAUACUCUAUCAAUUCCUUCAAAUAUCAGUUGAAGUCAAUCCCAAAUGUCCUUACCUGUGACACAAGAAGAAAUUCUGCUAAAUUGAGAUAAAGAUAAUGAACAAUAUAGCAAAUAUCUAGCUUUAGCAUUGUGACCAGCUCUAUUUCGUCGAGCUUCUUCAGCAGCAGCAAUAGCUGCAACAUCUUUAGCUUGAGCUUCUUGUCCUUCUCGUCGAACAGGACUGGGAUGGGAGCUAGAGUAGAUCUUCUCUUUUAUAGGCAUCCUCAAUUAGACUGUUGGAGAUGUCUUGGAGAAGUAAGAGAGCCGUUGGGAGUUCGUUGGUGCUGUUGUCCAAGGAUGGUACUGCCCAUGCAGCUUUUCCCGAACAUUUGCAAACUACUUGAAAUAGCUUCUGUUGUUGUUCUAUCGCUGCAGCUUUGACAUAUUGUUAGACAGUCUAUUCUCAGAUUUUUUGUUUCUUCUACUGUGUAUGUUCAGUCCAUAACGGCAAUAAUAGUGAACCAAUGGUCAUAUUCAAUGAUCCGUUGCUAUAA